rnacentral:lncRNA from 1 species
CUGCCUUUUUUGCUGCAGUGAACAAUAAGCCAAAAUGACCAGAACAAAAAUGAACCCUCUGUAGAUUGUAUUUGGGUGGAGGUUCAUGUUGCUGUUGAAAUUUGGAUUGUUUAUAUGUUUUUUGUCAAAUAUCUUUCAGCGGAGCAGCAUUUUUUAGCUGUUUCUGACAAUCUUGGAGUACUGCAUGUUUUGGAAAUCUGUCAAACACUAAGUCAUCCUUCGAGUAAUGAGCAUGCCAAUGUACUUGAUUUCUUUGAAAGAGAAGUCAAAUACCUGAAGUACUGUGAACAAGAGUUUCAAGAGUAUCAAAAGUUUCAAGCCAAAACAGAACUGAAAUGGAGCUGGAGGCACAGAGAGAGAAAACAAGUAUGACUACUCUAUAGAAAACAAGAGAUGGAGGAGCAAGAAGACUGUGUUUCUGGACCUGGAGAAGCAGAUAAUAUUGGAUUUAGAGACAAGAAACACUUCCCUCACUGGAUACUUAGAGCCCAUUAUCACCUUUAGAACCAGUGAGCUUUUUA